AUGAACGCUGGCGGCGUGCCUAAUACAUGCCAGUCGAGCGAACAGACGAGGAGCUUGCUCCUCUGACGUUAGCGGCGGACGGGUGAGUAACACGUGGAUAACCUACCUAUAAGACUGGGAUAACUUCGGGAAACCGGAGCUAAUACCGGAUAACAUGUUGAACCGCAUGGUUCAACAGUGAAAGACGGUCUUGCUGUCACUUAUAGAUGGAUCCGCGCCGCAUUAGCUAGUUGGUAAGGUAACGGCUUACCAAGGCAACGAUGCGUAGCCGACCUGAGAGGGUGAUCGGCCACACUGGAACUGAGACACGGUCCAGACUCCUACGGGAGGCAGCAGUAGGGAAUCUUCCGCAAUGGGCGAAAGCCUGACGGAGCAACGCCGCGUGGGUGAAGAAGGUCUUCGGAUCGUAAAACUCUGUUAUUAGGGAAGAACAAAUGUGUAAGUAACUAUGCACGUCUUGACGGUACCUAAUCAGAAAGCCACGGCUAACUACGUG
rnacentral:rRNA from 1 species